GACGAACGCUGGCGGCGUGCUUAACACAUGCAAGUCGAACGGAAAGGCCCUGCUUUUGUGCGGUGCUCGAGUGGCGAACGGGUGAGUAACACGUGAGUAACCUGCCCUUGACUUUGGGAUAACUUCAGGAAACUGGGGCUAAUACCGGAUAGGAGCUCCUGCUGCAUGGUGGGGGUUGGAAAGUUUCGGCGGUUUGGGCUGGACUCGCGGCUUAUCAGCUUAUAGGUGGAGUAGUGGCUUACCCAGGCUUUGACGGGUAGCCGGCCCGGGAGGGUGGACGGCCACAUUGAACCUCGGGUGCGGCGCAGACUGCUACGGGAGGCAACAGUAGAGAAUAUUGCACAAUUGGCGGAAGACAGAUGAAACAACGCCGCGUGCGGGAUAACGGCCUUCGGGUUAUAAACCACUUUCGCCUGUAACGAAGCGUGAGUGACGGUAAGAGGUAAAGAAGCACCGGCUAACUACGUG
rnacentral:rRNA from 1 species